rnacentral:rRNA from 1 species
UUUUCCGUAGGUGAACCUGCGGAGGGAUCAUUA